UACGGAGGAUGCGAGCGUUAUCCGGAUUUAUUGGGUUUAAAGGGUCCGUAGGCGGCUUUUUAAGUCAGCGGUGAAAUUUUGCAGCUUAACUGUAACAGUGCCGUUGAUACUGGGGAGCUAGGAUUUGGUUGCUGUGGGUGGAAUGUGUGGUGUAGCGGUGAAGUGCUUAGAGAUCACACAGAAUAUCGAUUGCGAAGGCAGCUCACAAAGCCAAGAUUGACGCUGAGGCACGAAAGUGUGGAGAUCAAACAGGAUUA
rnacentral:rRNA from 1 species